rnacentral:lncRNA from 1 species
GUCUUUCGAGGCUGCGGGUUGGGUCUUGGUGAGUGUGUUUUCUUUGUUUAAGUAAAUCCUUGGUCUGAGGCCUCCAGUUCUUGGCAGUUAAAAUCGCCAGUCACUUUUAGGCCAGUCGCAGGCCUUCGCAGGGCUCAGAAGAUAAGAAUGGUGGAGCAGUGCGCAUUGGGUGGCCGGCGUGGCCUGAUUUGUAUUCGAUUUGUUGGGUCGCACUGCGGAAAAACCUCGGCUCGGGGCCCUGCCUCUGAUGAAGCCUGUGUUGGUAGGGACAUCUGAGACUGUUGAUGAAUGCCAACGGCUCUGAUGGCGGUGCUUGCCGAGUUGCCGAGCGGGUUUCUGUUAAUGCCUUCUGCUCUUGCCUCUUCCCGUCUCUCAGUAAGGCCACGUGAGCCUCUAAAUGGCUGCAUUCCCCAUUGCAGCAUUAGUGCCCUCAGAAUGCUCCUGUGAAAUUUUGAGUGGUGUAGUAAAAGACCUGCAAACAUGAUGGGGAGACGGCAAUGAUUAGAUGUGGGGAAAAAACGAAUUUUGGGAGUUCUUUGAUGGCCUAGCAGGUUGAGGCUCCUGCAUUCUCUGCGCUGUGGUUCUGGCUGCUGCUGUGCCGCGUAGGUUCGAUCCCCGGACCAGGAAUGCCCAGACACUAUACUGCAUGUGUGGCAAAAAAGAAAAUACAAAAGAAAAAAAUCUAAUUUUGAAAAUCCCUAAUCUUUUCUAGGAAUGGUGCUAGGGAUGAAUGCAAUGUGGCUUUUGAUGGCUUCUGAUGGGCAGCUAAGCGCCAAAGAUAUGAGAAUCGCUGCUGGGGUGAGUUAUAGAAAUUCCCUCCACCAGGGGUGUUAGGUUGAAAUUCCUUUGUGCCAUAAUGAUGACAUUUUAUUUGCUACUCUUGACAGUGAGGAUGACGAGAAUCCUUACCACCAUUAUUCUAACUGAGGCACACAAAACAGUGGUUUAGAGGACAUAGAAAUUGCUCCUAAGCUUACAUGAAACUGUUUCUUCCCAGGUUGUAAAGCGCAAGCUUAACACUGUAUUUGUGGGCAAAAAGGUGAGAAACCUUUUUAAAGUCUAUAUACCCAGUGCUGUCCAAUUCUUUGUAUUUUUAGGGGUUGACAAAUCACCAAAUCAAUGUUGAUGCUUAAAUUAGCGGUUUGCUCCCCUUUUCAAACCUGAAAUUCUGCACCUUAGUUUUAUACUUAACUUGCAGGGAUCUGAAGAAACAGAUACUGUGAUGGUUGCAUAGUUCAACAGAUUGAAUCGUGAAAGAGAGAACAUUUGACUGAGUGUCUGGGUUAGGAAAACUUUGGCUAAUAGCAUAAGCAAAGUACCACUUCUAAUCUGACUUCUAUUUUUGUAGGUGCUAGGCAGAGUUAGCUGAAAGGUGAAGAGGUAAGUAAAAUUGUAAUUGAACUAAACAUUGGUGACUGGGCAAAGAUGACAGAAUGCCUCUGAUGGGUUUUUAGGACUGCCUUUUAAUACACGUGAAGCAAUCCUACCAUGAAGUGCUUGGACAGUGCUGAAUGCAUUAAGGCCAAAUCCUUGUCUUGUUACCAUAAGGUGUAUUGCUUUGGAAGAGCAGCCUGUGUGAUGAUAAGCAUAUACUGACUGAACAUGAAGGUCUUAUAUUAGCUCUAUCUGAUUUCAGGCAUUUUUUAGGUUUCUGGGGAAUAAUUCAUCUUUGACUACUGUAAAACCACUCUUUAUUUCUUUAGGUGAACUUGUCUGACAUGUCUGGACCAGCCUUUUUAGUGGGUAAGCAUUAAUGUUUAAAGCAAAAUUUAGUAGGCUCAAAACUUAGGGUAAUGCUGACAAGGUAGAAUGCCUAAGCUAAUUUUGUAUGUUUGAUUUGCAAACGUAUGUUGAGCAUGCUUUAGCAGGGUUUUUGUAAUGAUGUUGAGCAAAUGUCUGACCUGAAAUGAGCAUGUAGACAAAUCUAACACUGAAGGACCCUGUGACAAAAAUAAAUGAGAAUUUAAUGUAUGAUUGACCUUUUAGUGAAAGUGUCAUUUCCUUUAUAGGUACCCGGUAUUAUCUGUGGAUGGCUUGUUUGGGGUAAGACAUGAAAACAGUUCUUUGGCUCUUGGCACUUGGGGUUUUUGUUUUUAUAAUGUGCUAGUCUUAGUAAUUGUGAUGGUGUUUUCUGGUGUUGGACAGUUGGAGUAUUGAAGCUAUUUUGAAAUGUGUCUGAAGAAAUAAUUUUUUUCAGGUGCAGAUUUUGAGGACCUUUUGUAUAAAGGUAUGUAUGUAUUUUUAUCAAUUGUACUAGUUAGUAAGCAAAAUGCUGUUAGUGAUGAUUUAUAAAAUUAAACAGAUGGGAAUCUCUCUGAAAAAUAAUGAAGAUUUUAAAAAACUGAAACAGUGUUAAGAAGUUUUUUAAAAAUUAUAUUUCUACCUAUUAAAUUUCAUUAAGUUUCAUUAAAUUCUGCAGGUGUGAAGAGGCCUUGGCUACAAGGCAUUGAUUGGAACAUGCCUUAAAAGGUAUUGUAGCCUUAAGUUAGGUUUCUGUUUUAUGUGAUUUUUUUUUUUAAGCCGAUACAAUGAUGAUAACAUAGUUCAGCAGACUUGACAGUGAUGAGCAAAUAACUGUCUUUCGCUCCUAUCUGAUGUAUCUGGCUGUAACAAUUCUGUUUAUACAGUUUCUCAGAAAUGUUAAUGGAUUUGGAUAAGCCUAAUGACUAAUGGAGAUGUCCUAUACUAUUAAACUUAAGUCAUAGUCAAGCUUAGGGUUACCAAGAGGGAAACUGAAGGCACACUACAUACAAGGUAGCUAACCAGGGACCAACUAUAAUAGCACAGUGUGGUCUACUCAGUGUUAACCUAAAGCUAAUACAACUUAAUUCAACUAUACUCCAAUAAAAACAUUAAAAUUCCAGAAUUACCAAUUGACAUUUAGAUGAAGACAAGGCUGACAUUCUUGUGAGGAAGUUUUUAUGGUAUAUAAUGUACAUAAUGCCAGAUGACUUGUUUAGUUGAUUAUUUUAGAAUCAUUUUUUAGAUCGGCUUGGGAUUCAUAGCAAAGUUAACCACAUACCAUGCACACAAAAUCUAGCACUGGAAUAGUACGUUGGGGUUCACUCAUGUUCUGAGUGGGGACAAGUGCUGACAAACACAACAUACAAAAUAUGUUCACUGUCCUAAAUUUUUUCACAUUUUCAAACAGGCAGAUCUUCUGUUACCCUGAAGAUUUCAAAGUAAGUCAGCCUUUUAUAUAUAGUUAUUAUCUGUAUGUUUGAAUGUAACCAGUGAUGUGAUGAUUCUGCCAAAUGAAUAAGAUGAUAUCACCCAUAAACCGUUCCAUUUUGAUUCUGAGGUUACUAACAAGUAUCACUUAAGUCUUGGGUUAUUUUACUGUGAUCUAACAUGUUCUUUCCUUUUUAGGGCAUUUAUGAGCAGCAGUCAAUGCAACUUAACCAAUUGACAGGUAGCUGGAUGGAUGCUUGUGGGAUGGAUAGAAGAAAAGUAAACAACUUUGUAUUUUAAUAAAUGUUUUUUACUUAAAA